rnacentral:rRNA from 1 species
UGCGGAGGGAUCAUUACAAGAACGCCCGGGCUUCGGCCUGGUUAUUCAUAACCCUUUGUUGUCCGACUCUGUUGCCUCCGGGGCGACCCUGCCUUCGGGCGGGGGCUCCGGGUGGACACUUCAAACUCUUGCGUAACUUUGCAGUCUGAGUAAACUUAAUUAAUAAAUUAAAACUUUUAACAACGGAUCUCUUGGUUCUGGCAUCGAUGAAGAACGCAGCGAAAUGCGAUAAGUAAUGUGAAUUGCAGAAUUCAGUGAAUCAUCGAAUCUUUGAACGCACAUUGCGCCCCCUGGUAUUCCGGGGGGCAUGCCUGUUCGAGCGUCAUUUCACCACUCAAGCCUCGCUUGGUAUUGGGCAACGCGGUCCGCCGCGUGCCUCAAAUCGUCCGGCUGGGUCUUCUGUCCCCUAAGCGUUGUGGAAACUAUUCGCUAAAGGGUGUUCGGGAGGCUACGCCGUAAAACAACCCCAUUUCUAAGGUUGACCUCGGAUCAGGUAGGGAUACCCGCUGAACUUAAGCAUAUC